GCCGCCUAGCUCAGUCGGUAGAGCGCAAGGCUCUUAACCUUGUGGUCCUGGGUUCAAGUCCCAGGGUGGGCG
rfam:Ipomoea nil DNA, scaffold: scaffold3056, cultivar: Tokyo-kokei standard.